rnacentral:rRNA from 1 species
GACGAACGCUGGCGGCGUGCUUAACACAUGCAAGUCGAACGGAAAGGCCCUGCUUUUGUGGGGUGCUCGAGUGGCGAACGGGUGAGUAACACGUGAGUAACCUGCCCUUGACUUUGGGAUAACUUCAGGAAACUGGGGCUAAUACCGGAUAGGAGCUCCUGCUGCAUGGUGGGGGUUGGAAAGUUUCGGCGGUUGGGGAUGGACGCGCGGCUUAUCAGCUUGUUGGUGGGGUAGUGGCUUACCAAGGCUUUGACGGGUAGCCGGCCUGAGAGGGUGACCGGCCACAUUGGGACUGAGAUACGGCCCAGAGUCCUACGGGAGGCAGCAGUGGGGAAUAUUGCACAAUGGGCGGACGCCUGAUGCAGAAACGCCGCGUGCGGGAUGACGGCCUUCGGGGUGUAAACCGCUUUCGCCUGUGACGAAGCGUGAGUGACGGUAGUGGGUAAAGAAGCACCGGCUAACUACGUG